AACAUACAUUUUAGCGUUUCCCAUGAAACAGAAUUGAGAAUCCAGUUCAUUUGUAUGGGAACGUAAUUUUUAAGAGACAGGGUUUACA